AGCAAAGUUAUGUGACAUCAGUGACGUUUGUACUUUCAGCGUUAACUUGGUUUUAAAGCCUUUACUUUAAAAGCAAAACAGACUUUAAUGUUUGUUUGAACGAGCUGACGGUUCACUCGUUAAGCUGAAAGAAAGAUGCUUUAAUCACAGGAGUCACACAUGUGUCCACUGUACCAUCUGGGAACUCUUCUUGUUUAGCACUCGUAAUAACACAAACACUAAAUCCUCCUUCUCUUGUGUUGUUUUGUAGCAGUGUAUACACCUGAGACUGUCACCUGUCUGUCCUGCACUCGCUCUCUCUUUUUCUUUCUCUCUGAUUGUGUAAUAAAAGUAUGAACAUGUAUUUAUUUCAAACUUGUGUUUGAAUCCUGCAGCUUAUCACAAAUUUGAUUUCAAUGUGUGACAACUUCAAGUGUCCAGAGUGAGGACAGACUAAGGGACCCACUGCUGCACAUCAUCUGUGAGGCUUUGCACCCCUGAUGAUCCACCAGGACAAACUCAGCAGUGUGUGAGGAAGAGGAGGAGGAAGAGCCAGCACUAGCUGACAGAUGGAGAGAAUAGACAGACUGUUCCCUGUUUGUGAAGGACUGCUAGAAAAGUUUAAAAUCACUAACUGUCUGUCCUGAAUCAGUCUUAUUAGGAUAUGCUUGUGAAGAUGGAAUAUGGGGGAGAGCAGAAGUGCGUUGAAGUUCCACAAAGGGAUGAAUGAAGGACAUGCAUAUUGUAUUGAAGAAAUAAGUGAUGAGAAUGCUGUUAUUUGCAUUUACCAUGUCAGACCUUUUGAUAAACAAAAUUCAGAUUUGGUGUUUAACACUAAAUCAGAGUUAACGUACCAACUCUCCAAAAAGAGUUAAAUUAACACUUUCUGGUGUGGACCCAUAUAGACACUUUAAUAGUGUUGAAAUCAAAUCCGACAGUGUUAAUUUGGACAUGCUGGAUUUGCUGUGUACUUUUAAAUCUUCACUAUAAUAAAAAAAAAAGUACUAUUGAAUCUUAAUAUCCUGACA
ensembl:lncRNA